rnacentral:lncRNA from 1 species
GCGCUAUUUACAGUUUUAUAAAAUUUGGGUCACAUAAUCUCCUUGCAAAAUGAAACAAAUUGCUGUUUUAAAAAAUAGGGGUCCAUGCACUCGUUUUCAAAUUAAAUCAGUUUGAAUGAUAAAAAUCAUUCGAAAAAUGUAUCUUUUCCCGAUAUGUCAGAGUUUGACGUCGCGAAAAUAACAUUUUAUGUUAGCAACGUCAUUACCUUCACUGUAACUGUAUCGUAUGCCCUU